UACGGGGGGGGUAAGCGUUGUUCGGAAUUACUGGGCGUAAAGGGCUCGUAGGCGGCCAACUAAGUCAUACGUGAAAUCCCUCAGCUUAACUGGGGAACUGCGUGUGAUACUGGAUGGCUUGGAUUUGGGAGAGGGAUGCGGAAUUCCAGGUGUAGCGGUGAAAUGCGUAGAUAUCGGGAGGAACACCAAUUGCGAAGGCAGCUCGCUGGGACGUCACUGACGCUGAGACGCGAAAGCGUGGGGAGCAAACAGG
rnacentral:rRNA from 1 species